GAGAGUGCAAGUACGUGUCAGGGUGCGUGUCUGGGUAUGUUUGUGCGUGGCGCCAGAGCACCUCGAGUAUGCGCGUGCGCACCGCUUUCGGGAGCUUUUGCACAGAGCUGGUAAUUGGGGGUGCUCGAUUGUAGCGUUGGGGGAGUUCACCGUGUAGCAGGAGAGAGGCAAACUAUCCAGGGUGCUUUGGGACCGGGAGCGUCAUUUAAAUCGAUGGAUGUCAGAGGGGCUUCUCAGAAGGCUCCUCCUGUGAGUUUUGAGGAGUCCGUGGAAGUUAACCCAGUAGAGAAGAGAGUGAGCCUAAUGAGUGUUCCAAGCAGAGGGAAAAGAAUGGUUGCAACUGUGUGUGAGGCGAGAGCUUGGUUUUAGGAUUUGCGGGAGAUGUGAGAGAACACUGGAAAGAAAAGUCAGCCGGGCCAUAUGGGGGAGAGGGUCUGAAUGCCAAGCUGAGUUGGAUUGCUUUUGACAGUGGGGAGCCAUCCGAAUCUAGAGGAAGUAGAUGUCAUUUGUCAGAGUGAACCGCUGUGGUCCCCGAGUUGGUGUAAGAAAGACACCG
rnacentral:lncRNA from 1 species